rnacentral:rRNA from 1 species
UACGAAGGGGGCUAGCGUUGCUCGGAUUUACUGGGCGUAAAGGGCGCGUAGGCGGACAGUUUAGUCAGAGGUGAAAGCCCAGGGCUCAACCUUGGAAUUGCCUUUGAUACUGGCUGUCUUGAGUACGGGAGAGGUGAGUGGAACUCCGAGUGUAGAGGUGAAAUUCGUAGAUAUUCGGAAGAACACCAGUGGCGAAGGCGACUGACUGGACAUGUAUUGACGCUGAGGUGCGAAAGCGUGGGGAGCAAACAGG